rnacentral:tRNA from 1 species
GUCCGGUUGGGGCGCGGUUUCGGACGCUGUCGGGAUUUCGGUUUCGGAGAAGGUGAUUUCUAUGCCGUCGUCCGAUGCGCCGUCCGGGCC